rnacentral:rRNA from 1 species
GACGAACGCUGGCGGCGUGCUUAACACAUGCAAGUCGAACGGGAAGGCCCUGCUUUUGUGGGGUGCUCGAGUGGCGAACGGGUGAGUAACACGUGAGUAACCUGCCCUUGACUUUGGGAUAACUUCAGGAAACUGGGGCUAAUACCGGAUAGGAGCUCCUGCUGCAUGGUGGGGGUUGGAAAGUUUCGGCGGUUGGGGAUGGACUCGCGGCUUAUCAGCUUGUUGGUGGGGUAGUGGCUUACCAAGGCUUUGACGGGUAGCCGGCCUGAGAGGGUGACCGGCCACAUUGGGACUGAGAUACGGCCCAGACUCCUACGGGAGGCAGCAGUGGGGAAUAUUGCACAAUGGGCGGAAGCCUGAUGCAGCAACGCCGCGUGCGGGAUGACGGCCUUCGGGUUGUAAACCGCUUUCGCCUGUGACGAAGCGUGAGUGACGGUAAUGGGUAAAGAAGCACCGGCUAACUACGUGCCAGCAGCCGCGGUGAUACGUAGGGUGCGAGCGUUGUCCGGAUUUAUUGGGCGUAAAGGGCUCGUAGGUGGUUGAUCGCGUCGGAAGUGUAAUCUUGGGGCUUAACCCUGAGCGUGCUUUCGAUACGGGUUGACUUGAGGAAGGUAGGGGAGAAUGGAAUUCCUGGUGGAGCGGUGGAAUGCGCAGAUAUCAGGAGGAACACCAGUGGCGAAGGCGGUUCUCUGGGCCUUUCCUGACGCUGAGGAGCGAAAGCGUGGGGAGCGAACAGGCUUAGAUACCCUGGUAGUCCACGCUGUAAACGGUGGGUACUAGGUGUGGGGUCCAUUCCACGGGUUCCGUGCCGUAGCUAACGCUUUAAGUACCCCGCCUGGGGAGUACGGCCGCAAGGCUAAAACUCAAAGGAAUUGACGGGGCCCCGCACAAGCGGCGGAGCAUGCGGAUUAAUUCGAUGCAACGCGUAGAACCUUACCUGGGUUUGACAUGGAUCGGGAGUGCUCAGAGAUGGGUGUGCCUCUUUUGGGGUCGGUUCACAGGUGGUGCAUGGCUGUCGUCAGCUCGUGUCGUGAGAUGUUGGGUUAAGUCCCGCAACGAGCGCAACCCUUGUUCACUGUUGCCAGCACGUUAUGGUGGGGACUCAGUGGAGACCGCCGGGGUCAACUCGGAGGAAGGUGGGGAUGACGUCAAGUCAUCAUGCCCCUUAUGUCCAGGGCUUCACGCAUGCUACAAUGGCUGGUACAGAGAGUGGCGAGCCUGUGAGGGUGAGCGAAUCUCGGAAAGCCGGUCUCAGUUCGGAUUGGGGUCUGCAACUCGACCUCAUGAAGUCGGAGUCGCUAGUAAUCGCAGAUCAGCAACGCUGCGGUGAAUACGUCCCCGGG